GCGUCCUGUCACAAGUCCAGCUGCUGGAGUCCGGCGGGGAUGUGAAAAAGCCCGGAGACUCCCUCAGACUGACCUGUACCACCUCAGGGUUCAACAUAGACAGCGCCUGGAUGAGCUGGGUCCGGCAGGCUCCCGGGCAGGGGCUGGAGUGGGUAUCAGCAAUUAAUGGAGCAACUACGCAUUAUGGAAAUUCCGUGAAAGGGCGAUUCACCACCUCCACAGACAGCUCCAAGAAGCUGAUCUACUUGCAAAUGACUGGCCUCAAGCCCGAGGACACCGCCCGCUAUUACUGUGCGAGAGACACAGUGAAAUGA